CGGUAUUGCAUCUUGCUUUGCUUUAUAGAUUACCGUGCAAAUGUUCAAUCGUCUAAAAUAUUUGUUCACACGUCAAACACCAAGGAAAGUAGCAACAGUGAAACGAACCAAUGUAUGCUGAAACUGGUGGGAACAUAUUG